CCAUCCUUCGGAAAGUUUUGCUAGCUGCUUUUGAGUACUUCCCCCCUAUGGCUAUCAUCAGUACAAGGCCUUAGUCUGAACCUGAAAUCUUGGUUACCAAAAGAAUCAGUAAGUAAGCAGUCAACCUGUUAAUUAUUUCCAUGGAGAGGAAUGGCAAGGCGGAAGGGAGAAUGCAGGGUGGCGGGCGGAGCGCUGGAGGCUGCUUAUAUUGGCGAGGACAGGCGUCGUUAAUGAGAUGCAAGGACUACACCGCCACCGGUGGAUUUCAGGCCAUGGGGACACCCCCCCCCCCCCGCGCCCCAACGAGUGGCGUAUUCUUUCAGGAUGGCAUCAGGGGCUGGAAGAGUCAUUCUUGGCAUCAAGGCCUUGGCUAAGCUGAGCUUUGCACCCUGGAAUCCACUGAGGAGGCAGGUCGUUGCUCAUGCUCACAUACAUCACAUCUGCCUUGGUUUCCUGUUUGCACAGUCCACAUUGUAUCUCUUUGAAGAACUGUAAGGUCUUUACACCCCUGACUGUUUCCUUCGUGUAAUUUAUUUUCUACAACAGCUGGAAUCUUUGGCUUUUGCCCCUUACCUCCCUGGGGCUAUGGGUGACUCAGAGCUGACCCUGACCACCCUGUCCACUUUUCUGCAUCUCACUGGGGCCCAAGCACUUCUUUGAAAUCGUACUUUACUUGCUGAGCUCUGUGUAUGAAACAGACUCAAGUUCCUUCUAUAGAAUCCCUCAAAGUUUAUUUGGUGGGCCAAUUAUCCACCACCCUUCCUAAAGAUCAGCUUUUGUUGGGACAGGAAGAGGCUCUCAUAAGAAGCGUUCAGUGACUAAGAUUUCUCCGUUCACCCUUUUCCUCUUUUAGUCAAUUAAUUUAUUUGAAAGGCAGAGUUACAGAGAGAGAGGGAGAGACACAGAGAGAAACAUCUUCUAUCUUCUGGUUCAUUCUCCAAAUGGCUACAUGGUUGGGGCUAAGCCAGGCUGAAGCCAGGAGCCUGUAACUCCAUCUGGGUCUCCUUCAUGGGUAGAGAGAACCCAGGCACAUUAACAGGGAGCUGGAUCCUAAGUGGAGUGGCCAAGACUCGAACUGCUUUGCAUAUGGGAUGCUGGUAUUACAGGCAGCGGCUCAACCCACUAUGCCACAGUGCUGGUCCUUCUCCUUUCACUCUUGUAACUCUUCUCAGAGGAUGGAAAAUGGGUGUUAUUCUGGCUUUUUGGGAAAACACUCUGAAGCCUCAAUUCUUCUAGAGUUCAGUUUUCUUAAAAUGCAAAGCCCACUAGUUUCAAGAGCCGACUUUGGAAUUUGCAGUGGA
rnacentral:lncRNA from 1 species